CCUAUACAUGCAAGUCGUGCGGACCUUUUAAAAGCUUGCUUUUAAAAGGUUAGCGGCGGACGGGUGAGUAACACGUGGGCAACCUGCCUGUAAGAUCGGGAUAACGCCGGGAAACCGGGGCUAAUACCGGAUAGUUUUUUCCUCCGCAUGGAGGAAAAAGGAAAGACGGCUUUUGCUGUCACUUACAGAUGGGCCCGCGGCGCAUUAGCUAGUUGGUGGGGUAACGGCUCACCAAGGCAACGAUGCGUAGCCGACCUGAGAGGGUGAUCGGCCACAUUGGGACUGAGACACGGCCCAAACUCCUACGGGAGGCAGCAGUAGGGAAUCUUCCGCAAUGGACGAAAGUCUGACGGAGCAACGCCGCGUGAGUGAAGAAGGCCUUCGGGUCGUAAAACUCUGUUGCCGGGGAAGAACAAGUGCCGUUCGAACAGGGCGGCGCCUUGACGGUACCCGGCCAGAAAGCCACGGCUAACUACGUGCCAGCAGCCGCGGUAAUACGUAGGUGGCAAGCGUUGUCCGGAAUUAUUGGGCGUAAAGCGCGCGCAGGCGGCUUCUUAAGUCUGAUGUGAAAUCUUGCGGCUCAACCGCACGCGGUCAUUGGAAACUGGGAGGCUUGAGUGCAGAAGAGGAGAGUGGAAUUCCACGUGUAGCGGUGAAAUGCGUAGAGAUGUGGAGGAACACCAGUGGCGAAGGCGGCUCUCUGGUCUGUAACUGACGCUGAGGCGCGAAAGCGUGGGGAGCAAACAGGAUUAGAUACCCUGGUAGUCCACGCCGUAAACGAUGAGUGCUAAGUGUUAGAGGGUUUCCGCCCUUUAGUGCUGCAGCUAACGCAUUAAGCACUCCGCCGGGGGAGUACGGCCGCAAGGCUGAAACUCAAAGGAAUUGACGGGGGCCCGCACAAGCGGUGGAGCAUGUGGUUUAAUUCGAAGCAACGCGAAGAACCUUACCAGGUCUUGACAUCCUCUGACCUCCCUGGAGACAGGGCCUUCCCCUUCGGGGGACAGAGUGACAGGUGGUGCAUGGUUGUCGUCAGCUCGUGUCGUGAGAUGUUGGGUUAAGUCCCGCAACGAGCGCAACCCUUGACCUUAGUUGCCAGCAUUCAGUUGGGCACUCUAAGGUGACUGCCGGUGACAAACCGGAGGAAGGUGGGGAUGACGUCAAAUCAUCAUGCCCCUUAUGACCUGGGCUACACACGUGCUACAAUGGAUGGUACAAAGGGCUGCGAGACCGCGAGGUUAAGCCAAUCCCAGAAAACCAUUCCCAGUUCGGAUUGCAGGCUGCAACCCGCCUGCAUGAAGCCGGAAUCGCUAGUAAUCGCGGAUCAGCAUGCCGCGGUGAAUACGUUCCCGGGCCUUGUACACACCGCCCGUCACACCACGAGAGUUUGUAACACCCGAAGUCGGUGAGGUAACCUUACGGAGCCAGCCGCCGA
rnacentral:rRNA from 1 species